UACGAAGGGUGCAAGCGUUACUCGGAAUUACUGGGCGUAAAGCGUGCGUAGGCGGUUUGUUAAGUCCGUUGUGAAAGCCCUGGGCUCAACCUGGGAAUUGCAGUGGAUACUGGCGAGCUAGAGUGCGGUAGAGGAUGGUGGAAUUCCCGGUGUAGCGGUGAAAUGCGUAGAGAUCGGGAGGAACACCCGUGGCGAAGGCGGCACUCUGGGCCGAUACUGACACUGAGGAGCGAAAGCGUGGGGAGCGAACAGG
rnacentral:rRNA from 1 species